rnacentral:tRNA from 1 species
GCCGACGUAGCUCAGCUGGUAGAGCACAUCACUCGUAAUGAUGGGGUCAGGGGUUCAAGUCCCCUCGUCGGCU